CCUGUGGAUACAAAUGCAGAUUUCCUUAAUGUUCAAUGGUGCGUGUUCUUCUAAUGGCCACCUUCCCACUGGAGGUUUUGAUCCACAGCAAUUUAAAAGGAGCACAGAUCAAAACGGACAUUGGCGCAGAGUGAAGAACUGCCCUUCACAAGGACACUAUGACAGCCAUAUAUAUGGCAGUAAGGAAGAGGUUUCCCAAUGUGUCCAGAAGGGCUUUGAGGAUUGCAGUGAAAGCUGGGGGAACUGAGACUGCUGGAAAAGGAAAAGAAAUUAAAUUUAAAGUAUGUUGACUUAUGUUCACACAAUCACACACACAUAUACACAUACACACACAUAUGUGUACAUAUAUAUAUAUAUACACAUAUAUAUAUGUGUGUCUGUGUUUCUUUUAGAAUGUUUAAGUAUGUAAUGAGAAUAAAAUUAUAAAAUGAAUAUUCC
ensembl:lncRNA